rfam:Streptomyces kanasensis strain ZX01 contig00043, whole genome shotgun sequence.
CCCGUAGGCGACCGCCUGCGGGGCCCUGACCCCGGUACCUGACACGGCCGGGGCAG